UUGUCAGCAAGCCAUGCUUUAACCUGAUACACAGAAAAAUAGUGAUUUAAUCAUAAAAAAUGAUUCAAAAUGUCUGUUAAAAAUGAUACCAAAGAAUGAAAAACAACAGGAGAGGUAGUUACAGAAGCAACUAAGCAACUUUUAGUGGAGUAUAUCAAGAUUGGCAGGACUUCAAGUAGCCUUUUGCCUAAGAACAAGCCAGUUAUCAUGAUACACCCACAGCAAGAGCAGUUCAAAGCAGCACAUUUUUGUGUGUGAACUUCCAAAGCAAUGUCAUGUGGACAAUAAUUGAAAUAAACUUAACCUUAAAAGAACGAAAAUGAAAGAAAAAGAUA
rnacentral:misc_RNA from 1 species